rnacentral:rRNA from 1 species
UACGUAGGGUGCAAGCGUUGUCCGGAAUUAUUGGGCGUAAAGAGCUCGUAGGCGGUCUGUCGCGUCGGCUGUGAAAACUCGGGGCUCAACUCCGAGCUUGCAGUCGAUACGGGCAGGCUAGAGUUCGGCAGGGGAGACUGGAAUUCCUGGUGUAGCGGUGAAAUGCGCAGAUAUCAGGAGGAACACCGAUGGCGAAGGCAGGUCUCUGGGCCACUACUGACGCUGAGAAGCGAAAGCAUGGGGAGCGAACAGG